GUGGGUGUAGCUCAGUUGGUUAGAGUGCUUGGUUGUGGCCCAAGAGGUCGUGGGUUCAAGUCCCAUCAUCCACC
rnacentral:tRNA from 1 species